rnacentral:tRNA from 1 species
GAGGGAAUAGCUCAGUGGUAGGGCACAUGCUUAGCCUGCACAAGGUUCUGGGUUCAAUCCCCAGUGCCUCCU